UACGUAGGGUGCAAGCGUUAAUCGGAAUUACUGGGCGUACAGGGAGCGUAGGCGGUUGGAUAAGCCCUCCGUGAAAUCUCCAGGCUUAACCUGGAAAGUGCAGAGGGGACUGUUCAGCUAGAGGAUGGGAGAGGAGCGCGGAAUUCCCGGUGUAGCGGUGAAAUGCGUAGAGAUCGGGAGGAAGGCCGGUGGCGAAGGCGGCGCUCUGGAACAUUUCUGACGCUGAGGCUCGAAAGCGUGGGGAGCAAACAGG
rnacentral:rRNA from 1 species